UGGUGGAGUGAUUUGUCUGCUUAAUUGCGAUAACGAACGAGACCUUAACCUGCUAAAUAGCCAGGCGAGCUUUCGCUCGUCGCCGGCUUCUUAGAGGGACUAUCGGCUCAAGCCGAUGGAAGUUUGAGGCAAUAACA
rnacentral:rRNA from 1 species